UACGUAGGCAGCAAGCGUUGUUCGGAAUUACUGGGCGUAAAGAGUGUGUAGGCGGUGCUCCAAGUCUGGUGUGAAAUCUCCCGGCUUAACUGGGAGGGUGCAUUAGAAACUGGAAUGCUAGAGGAUGGGAGGGGUAAGCGGAAUUCCUGGUGUAGCGGUGAAAUGCGUAGAUAUCAGGAGGAACACCUGUGGUGUAGACAGCUUACUGGACCAUUUCUGACGCUGAGACACGAAAGCGUGGGUAGCAAACAGG
rnacentral:rRNA from 1 species